GAUGAACGCUGGCGGCGUGCCUAAUACAUGCAAGUCGAGCGAACAGAUGAGGAGCUUGCUCCUCUGACGUUAGCGGCGGACGGGUGAGUAACACGUGGAUAACCUACCUAUAAGACUGGGAUAACUUCGGGAAACCGGAGCUAAUACCGGAUAAUAUAUUGAACCGCAUGGUUCAAUAGUGAAAGACGGUUUUGCUGUCACUUAUAGAUGGAUCCGCGCCGCAUUAGCUAGUUGGUAGGGUAACGGCUUACCAAGGCAACGAUGCGUAGCCGACCUGAGAGGGUGGUCGGCCACACUAGAAAUGAGACACGGUCCAGACUCAUACGGGAGGCAGCAGUAGGGAAUCUGCCGCAAGGGGCGAAAGCCUGACGGAGCAACGCCGCGUGAGUGAUGAAGGUCUUCGGAUCGUAAAACACUGUUAUUAGGGAAGAACAAAUGUGUAAGUAACUAUGCACGUCUUGACGGUACCUAAUCAGAAAGCCACGGCUAACUACGU
rnacentral:rRNA from 1 species